GUGGAUUAGAUACCCUGGUAGUCCACGCCCUAAACGAUGCGAACUGGAUGUUGGGUGCAACUUGGCACCCAGUAUCGAAGCUAACGCGUUAAGUUCGCCGCCUGGGGAGUACGGUCGCAAGACUGAAACUCAAAGGAAUUGACGGGGGCCCGCACAAGCGGUGGAGUAUGUGGUUUAAUUCGAUGCAACGCGAAGAACCUUACCUGGUCUUGACAUCCACGGAACUUUCCAGAGAUGGAUUGGUGCCUUCGGGAACCGUGAGACAGGUGCUGCACGGCUGUCGUCAACU
rnacentral:rRNA from 1 species